rnacentral:tRNA from 1 species
AAAAAGUUAGUUUAAAAAACAAUAGUUUGUCAAACUAUAGAUAUUAAUUUAUUAAUACUUUUUA